GUGUGCAUGCGCUUAUACUAUCAGUUUUCAUCACAUAGAAUUAAUAGAACCACAAAGUUUUCACGCUAGAAAUAUGAAUGCAUCUUAAAAUGAUUAAGAUUUAUAGAGUUUCAAGGAAUCCUACCAAAUAACAAUCUAGUGGUGGUGACGAUGAGGGGGAGGUGGAGAAGGGUACGUGUAGUGUGGUGGUGGUGGUGGUGACUUAUAAUAUGGCGGUGGUGGUGGUGGUGACUUAUAGUAUGGCGGUGGUGGUGUAGGAGAGGAGUCCUUUUGGGGUGGUGGUGGUGACUUAUGGUGUGGUGGUGGAGGAGAGGAGUCCUUGGGGGGUGGGGGUGACUUAUAGUAUGGUGGUGGAGGUGGAGGAGAGGAAUACUUUGGGGGUGGUGGUGGUGGUGACUUAUUGUGUGGUGGUGGGGGUGGAGGAGUGGAGUCCUUGGGGGGUGGGGGUGGGGGUGAUUUAUUGUAUGGUGAUGGAGGUGGAGGAGAGGACUCCUUGGGGGGUGGUGGAGGAGAGGAGUUCUUGGGGGGUGGGGGUGGCGGUGACUUAUGGUAUGGUGGAGGGGGUGGAGGAGAGGAGUUCUUGGGGGGUGGGGGUGGCGGUGACUUAUGGUAUGGUGGAGGGGGUGGAGGAGAGGAGUCCUUUGGGGGUGGGGGUGGUGACUUAUGGUGCGGUGGUGGUGGAGGAGAGGGGUCCUUGGGGGAUGGCGGUGGCGGUGACUUAUGGUAUGGGGGUGGGGGUGGAGGAGAGGAGUUCUUGGGAGGUGGUGGUGGCGGUGACUUAUGGUAUGGGGGUGGAGGAGAGGAGUUCUUGGGAGGUGGUGGUGGCGGUGACUUAUGGUGUGGUGGUGGGGGUGGUGACCUGCGUGUCCUUCUGGGAGGUGGUGGGGAUGAUGAGGUAUGUGGCCUCCUGGGAGGUGGUGGAGGUGGUGGCCUGUACUUGUGAACUGGAGGUGGAGGAGAACGGCGGCGAUGACGGUCCCUGUCGUCCCUGUCGUCCCUGUCGUGAGUAGCCAAGGUGAGAGAGAGCAUGGCAAAGAAAAGAGUGAGAGUGGCAAUGGCAAAUAGUGACCCCAUUUUCUCCCAACUUAUCUCCAAAGGCUUUUGAUUCU
rnacentral:lncRNA from 1 species